GAGCGUAGACAUAAUGCACCCCACCUCAAAAACACGCAGCCCGCAAUGACAGUAGAUAUGGUUGCCUUCUCUUGGAGGUGCGGCGCAGGAGGGUGGUGGGGGGGCGACAACGCCACCUUUUCCCCAACACAACCUAAUGGCUGGGGCUCAAUAAAAACAACGGCGGUGGCAACAACAACCCAAAUUAGCCGUGACAGCGUGCGGGGUACCCGAGCGCCUUUCUAAUUGAUCAUUCUCGGUUGGAGACUUCCCGGCCCUUGCUGCCACAGCUGCACCGCGGCUAUUCUUAGCGCAGGUGUGCUGUAGUCGUUGGAGUUCUUAUUUUGAGCUUUGGCUGUAAACACAUUCCAGAAACAUUUAUUCAGAGAAGGAGAGGGCUCUUUAUCUAGUUCAAUAUCACAAAGGUGUAGCAGGAGGGGACUUUUUUCUUGGGUUUUCUGCAAUGCAGCUGCCAUUUUCCAGCUAACGCCGCCAAGGCUGAAAUGAGCCCCUAGCCGGCUGACCUAUUGUGAGAAUUAAUUAACAGCCGCAGCAGAUUCGAGCACAGUUAUUUGGGACUUUCUGUACGUAGGUGUGAUAUGUGGGUCAGCGGGGAGUGACGCGGCGCGGGGCGCCAUGUCAUCUCAAGCUAUCAGCGAGCGACAGCCUCUCAAUAAGCGUGCUGAUCCCGGGCCAAGCCUGCUGACCGGCACAGUUAACAUUCCCAUCCCUUUGCAGACGACUAAUCCGGGAAUUCAACAAUGCGCCUGGCCUUCCAAAACCAGGGAUCAAAUUCUCUGUUGGCUCCGCAUUAGCACACGCAGACCCCGGCCCAAUGCCCACCCACAAAGCAGACUUGCAGAAAUCCACACACGUUCACACCCCCGGUUCAUUUUCCAGCUUGAGCCGCAUGCAGCACGGAGCGACAGAGGGAUGUUAACUAGCGCUGUGAAUUCAUCCCCUGUGUUUCCCCAUUCUUGUUUUCUUCUCUUAAUCUUUCAUGUGUGUUUCAAGCUAACCUUCAAUGUACAUUUAACCCAACUAACAUGACUGGCCGGGCUUUUAACUUGCAUUAUGCUCCGUGACAUUGACAAGAAAAAAAAAAAGAGGUGAGGAGAGCGUGCGGUGUUUGCACCCAGGCGAUGGGAUCAAAUCCGGGGAGAAAUCCAUUUCCUUGAGAAGCCAUGCCGCAGGGACGGGAAAACUGGACGCAUCCUGACAUGCAAUUAGUCCACGCUGCACUUUGGGAGCAUUGCAAUUAGUCAGACUGCCACAAGGUCAGAUAGAAGAGAUACACUACGCUGGUGUCGGAACCUCUCAGCUGUGUGCGCUCCUGGGAGUGCGGAGGGACAACGGAAGGCUCACUUUGGAGGUAGAUGUGAAGUGUGCUUGAGUGCCAGCUGGUGCCUUGGGACAUGGUUGAACAUCCACCGGCCAAAUGGUCAUUGCUGUGAAGCAGGACGACACUUUUGAAGGGUCCUGCUGUCCAGGGGAGGAUGACCGGAGGACUCAAGGAUGCACGCUUUGGCCCUAUUUUUGGACAUGGACCUCUGUUUAAAAAGAAGAGAAUUAAGUUCUACAGACACGUUUUAGAUAUUCGUCCUUGGGUAAUAAUUUGUCUGACCACCCAAUACCAUCAGGGCUUAGAGUGUAUUUUGCUUUUUCUGGUUUGUGUGAGAUCUUAACUGUGAAAAUUCCAAGGAGGAAUUUAAAAUACAACAGUUUUAAGAAACUAAAGUCAUAAUGUUUAGAGUUGCAUGAGUCAGAUGUUUGAAUUGCUUACAUGAAUUAAUACAAAAUAAAUAAAAAAUGUCAAUGAUUCAACCCCUGCAAACAUAUGUGAGGGACCAAGUUGGCAAGCAUGAGCAUCCAGCCAGAGAUUUGGCGAAAACAGGGAUUCACCCAAUGAACUUAUCUUAAACACACAAGUCAGGUUAGGAUUCUCAAACAAUGUCAACACCAACUGAAAUGAACAAACCACAUUUCAAAAUCGCAGAUUAUACAAUUUCUGUCAAAAAGGGGUCAGAUGGAGAAAAACACUGACCACUGGAUUACCAUUUUAACAAUAUAACAGUUCAUUUGUCAGUUUGGGUAUUCCAUAAAAAAACAAAAAGUGUAUUAUAUUAACUAAUAUAUUUAAAGGAAAUUAAAAAUAAUCUCAAAAUUUAAACAUUUCACCCCAUGAUGUUGUGAGCACUUGGUACGUUCUGAUUAGCCACUUCCUGUAUUUAAUAGUUUAGUCCAUGUUGUGCAUCUUUGCUUUCUCUUGACAAAAGCAGCACUUCUCUAAAUAAGUAGAAAUGAUAACUACAAAUGGAUGUCUGAAGGAGUGUCAGCACUCAGCUAUUUGCCAUUUUCAACUAAAUGAAUCCUGUCAUUCUGAAGUUCCUGAAAAGGAUCUUGUCCCUCUGAAAAAGUUUCUGUGUUGGAAAUGUUUUGUAUUUAAUUUAAUUUAAAAAAAAAAUUUUGUAUAAAAAAUAAAUUGUUCACUUG
ensembl:lncRNA